rnacentral:rRNA from 1 species
AUUGAACGCUGGCGGCAGGCCUAACACAUUCAAGUCGAACGAGUGGCGGACGGGUGAGUAAUGUCUGGGAACCUGCCUGAUGGAGGGGGAUAACUACUGGAAAUGGUAGCUAAUACCGCAUACCAUCAGAUGUGCCCAGAUGGGAUUAGCUAGUUGGUGGGGUAACGGCUCACCAAGGAGACGAUCCCUAGCUGGUCUGAGAGGAUGACCAGCCACACUGGAACUGAGACACGGUACAGACUCCGACGGAAGGCAGCAGUGGGGAAGAUUGAACAAAGGGCGCAAGCCUGAUGCAGCCAUGCCGCGUGUAUGAAGAAGGCCUUCGGGUUGUAAAGUACGUUCAGCGGAGAGGCGUUACCCGCAGAAGAAGAACAGGCUAACUCCGUGCCAGCAGCCGCGGUAAGUC